GGGGGCGUUAUUGGUCUCGACGGGGAACAAUGCUUAAAAUGUAAAGCACGUGGUGGCUUGCCUUCACCUAAAAAGAGGCUAUUUGCAAAUAAACGCAAACGAAAACGUAGUUCGUAUGCCAAGCGUUGCUUGCGCAGCUUAAUCGAACAAAAAAAACUCGGUCAACAAUUUUUUGACCUAUCCACACCAUUCGCACCGGUUUGAAUGUGGAGAAUAAUUUGGUGCUCUGCAAGUUUUAACUGCCUUUGCUAAAACUUGUAACAAAUUAAAGGCUUGCCGAAAGAAAGUUGUUUAUGGCUAAACUUUCGGUGAAAAAUAAGCAUAAACUAAACGUGUAGAAAGAUUUUAAACAGGUUUUUCGGAAGAGGGUUCAAAUCCCUCCGUCUCCACCA
rnacentral:tmRNA from 1 species